rnacentral:misc_RNA from 1 species
GCAAACUUGGUCAUUUAGAGGAAGUAAAAGUCGUAACAAGGUUUCCGUAGGUGAACCUGCGGAAGGAUCAUUACCGAGUUAGGGUCCCCCUCAAACCCCCCCAGGGAUGAAAGGGGGGAGGGGGGGGCCCAACCUUCAAACCCUUGUGUACGCGCCCGCCGUUUUUUAUGUUUUUCCCUUUUUGCAGGUUGCUUCGGCGGGUUGAGAUGCCCGCCGAAGCAGCAGUGCGCAUCAGAAAAAUUCAUGUGCAAAAAAAAGAGUGCUGUCUGAGGUGAAAACCAGAAUAGUUAAAACUUUCAACAACGGAUCUCUUGGUUCCCGCAUCGAUGAAGAACGCAGC